AUUACAGAAGUGACAGGCUCAUGGCCAGAGAUGACACAACAGAGAAAAUGAAUCAAGAUGAAAACAAGAAUAAGAAUAAUUUCCCUUCCUGGCCGGGCGCGGUAGCUCACUUUGGGAGACCAAGAGAAUUCAUGGCUGGGACCAGCUAGUCCUUGGCUCCACCUUCUUGGGAGCAGAUUAAAUACGACUUCAAGCCAGUGAGGUGAUUUGAGUCCCAGCAGCCUCAUCUGCCAAGUCAACCCCAGCACUGCAUUGAGAAAGGUCAGAGAUUCGGAGUGCAGACAAGAGCUGUCCCAUGCCAGAGCCCAAACUUGUCCCCUGGUUGGGAAGCUGAGGAGUGAUUCUUUGGUUCUCAGAUGCUCCGAGGGUGCCUCAGGUGGCAUGCAGUCAGUGCACACAUCCCAGGUUUUGGUGCAGAAUAUUGUGUGAGUUCUGGCAGCUGAGUCACUUCACAGAGCCCAGUGAUGCAGUAGAUGUCACAGAAGGACCCUCGCCCAGCUGUUCCUGCCUCUCUGCUACGAUGAGUGUGGCCUCUGAUCCCCAACUGACUGUGUCUUGAGACCAGGCCCAUGAGCACAGGGGUUUCCAUGGUGAAGGUUCCUGGAUGGAACACCAUGGAUGUUCCUAAUGUUCCUUCCUGAUGUUCAUCUGCCAUCUUGCUAUUUAAUGCAUCUUGUGUAUAACUGUCUUCUAAAUAUUAAAUAGAAAAAAGCAUUUGUACAAUAUGGGCAAGGUAUAAAGAACAUCGACACACUGGACACACAGGACCUCCACCAAGUUUAGGGAACAGAAUCUGAAGAGACAUAACUGUGGAUGUUCCCUGGCGGCCCCUCCCGAAUCCCAGUCCCUUCCCUUCUGCAGAGGGAAUCACUUUCCACUUUAGUCUUUAUUAAUCCCGUACUUUUCUUCAUAGCACGUUUCUUUCACCACGUAUGUGUACAUCCCUAAACAAUAUGCCAUUUAGUGUUUGAACUUUCUGUUGUCUUUUUGAGACAGGGUCUUGCUCUGUUGCCUCGGCUGUAGUUUUGAACUUGGAUGUGAAGAAAUUCUCCUGUGUGGCUGCUCCUAUGCUGCAUUGGGUCUGAGCAUUUGCAUUUGCUCGAUGUCUAUUUUUGUCCUGCAUUCUCUUCCUGAGACCCAUCCACACUGACAUGGUUCAUUUUCAUUGCUGCGUGAUCGCCCGUGGUAUGAGGGGAACGUGGGAAAUGUCUUCAUUUUCCUGUGGAUGAGGGUUUGGGCAGGUUGGGCCCUUAGGACUGUGUUGCUAGAACGUUCUUGGGCAUUUCUUUUGUACACAAAUGCAAGUUUCUUCUGGUCAGUAGCUUUCAAUUUUUAAAAUUUCAUCCCAGUUAAGAAAUGUAAUUUUCCUCAUAACCCACAACACACAGCCUUUCAUAUGGAAGCAUAACAACAACAACAAAAGUUCACAACCUUUCUUAGCAGUGGCUGAGUGUUCUUGUUGCUCUCCAUUCUCCCCAACCCUUGCAUUUCUUGGGUUGUGGGAUUUUUGCCAGUCUGGUGGGUGUCACGUGGUACCUCAUCCUGUUAGGCUGAGACCCUCUUCAUGUGUUUGUUGGCCAUUCCUUCACAUUUCCCCUUCUGUGAAGGGCUGGUUCAACUCUUUUGUCCAGUUUCUGUUUAGCUGUUUGAAUUUUUGCCUUUUUCUUUUUUCUUUUAUUUUUUUUGAGAUGGAGUCUCGCUGUCACCCAGGCUGGAGUGUAGUGGUGCCAUCUCGGCUUACUGCAGGCUCUGCCCCGCCGGGUUCAUGCCAUUCUCCUGCCUCAGCCUCC
rnacentral:lncRNA from 10 species